ensembl:snoRNA
AUCUUUUUAUAGUUCAUAAGCGUAAUGACUGGGUGUUCACGUGCGUGUUUGAGAUGUGCCACCCUCGAACCUUGUUACGAUGUCGGUAUAUUACCCAUCUGACA